GGUACUAUUGCUAGAUGGUCACUUCGAUUAGUACAGGAAUUGGUUCCUGUGCUACCGACUUAGGUUCGAACCUGCGGGGUCACACACAUUAGAGGUUCCUAUCUGAUCUGAUGGCUGAUGAAGAGUCUUAAUGCUUGUGGACUAUGAGUCCUACAUGUCUGAGACUCUGUGAUCAAAAAUUAAGAUUCUCUGAUCAUGAGUCCCACACAU
rnacentral:lncRNA from 1 species